GAUGAACGCUGGCGGCGUGCCUAAUACAUGCAAGUCGAGCGAACGGACGAGAAGCUUGCUUCUCUGAUGUUAGCGGCGGACGGGUGAGUAACACGUGGAUAACCUACCUAUAAGACUGGGAUAACUUCGGGAAACCGGAGCUAAUACCGGAUAAUAUUUUGAACCGCAUGGUUCAAAAGUGAAAGACGGUCUUGCUGUCACUUUAGAUGGAUCCGCGCUGCAUUAGCUAGUUGGUAAGGUAACGGCUUACCAAGGCAACGAUGCAUAGCCGACCUGAGAGGGUGAUCGGCCACACUGGAACUGAGACACGGUCCAGACUCCUACGGGAGGCAGCAGUAGGGAAUCUUCCGCAAUGGGCGAAAGCCUGACGGAGCAACGCCGCGUGAGUGAUGAAGGUCUUCGGAUCGUAAAACUCUGUUAUUAGGGAAGAACAUAUGUGUAAGUAACUGUGCACAUCUUGACGGUACCUAAUCAGAAAGCCACGGCUAACUACGUG
rnacentral:rRNA from 1 species